rnacentral:tRNA from 2 species
GAGUUAGUAACUUAAUUGGUAAAGGGCCUUCUUGUCGAGAAGGAGGAUGCCGGAUCGUAGCCGGUCUAACUCG